rnacentral:rRNA from 1 species
UAACGCGUGGGUAACCUGCCUCACACAGGGGGAUAACAGUUGGAAACGACUGCUAAUACCGCAUAAGCGCGCAGCACCGCAUGGUGCAGUGUGAAAAACUCCGGUGGUGUGAGAUGGAUCCGCGUCUGAUUAGCUUGUUGGCGGGGUAACGGCCCACCAAGGCGACGAUCAGUAGCCGGCCUGAGAGGGCGACCGGCCACAUUGGGACUGAGACACGGCCCAG